UUGAUUCUGGCUCAGGAUAAACGCUGGCGGCGCACAUAAGACAUGCAAGUCGAACGAACUUAAUUCAAAAGUUUACUUUUGAAAGCGGUUAGUGGCGGACUGGUGAGUAACGCGUAAGCAAUCUGCCUAUCAGAGGGGAAUAACAGUGAGAAAUCACUGCUAAUACCGCAUAAGCUGUGAGGAGCACAUGCUCUAAAUAGAAAAGGAGUAAUCCGCUGAUAGAUGAGCUUGCGUCUGAUUAGUUAGUUGGUGAGGUAACGGCCCACCAAGACGAUGAUCAGUAGCCGGACUGAGAGGUUGAACGGCCACAUUGGGACUGAGAUACGGCCCAGACUCCUACGGGAGGCAGCAGUCGGGAAUAUUGCGCAAUGGAGGAAACUCUGACGCAGUGACGCCGCGUGCAGGAAGAAGGUUUUCGGAUUGUAAACUGCUUUAGACAGGGACGAAAUAAAUGACGGUACCUGUAGAAUAAGCUCCGGCUAACUACGUGCCAGCAGCCGCGGUAAUACGUAGGGAGCAAGCGUUAUCCGGAUUUAUUGGGUGUAAAGGGUGCGUAGACGGAAAGACAAGUUAGUUGUGAAAUACCUCGGCUUAACUGAGGAACUGCAACUAA
rnacentral:rRNA from 1 species